AAAGUCGUAACAAGGUUUCCGUAGGUGAACCUGCGGAAGGAUCAUUAAACAUCAUCGGGGAGAUGGCUCCAGCUGGUAGGGCUUCGGCCCCGCCUUCUGCCCUUCUCUUUCUGAUUAUACCCAUGUCUUUUGCGUACUAUUUGUUUCCUUGGUAGGCUUGCCUGCCGAUAGGACAUCAUUAAACCUUUUGUAAUUGCAGUCAGCGUCAGAAAAACAUAAUAAUUACAACUUUCAACAACGGAUCUCUUGGUUCUG
rnacentral:misc_RNA from 1 species